rnacentral:piRNA from 1 species
UCGAUAAGGGCUUGAUAGCACGAGCAGC